GUGAAACCGUUCAGGGGUAAACCUGCGAAACUCGAAUGAACGAACGGAGAGAUUCAUCGCCACUCCACGACGAGCGGCUGCGUGCAUGAUGUCUUGGACUUCGGUCUGCUGGCACUAGCGCCAUCCGUUGACAGCCGUGGACGACGUGCACUUCUUUCUUAGUAAUACAUCGCGAGUCGUUCAGUGUUGGUUUGAGUACCGUUUGGGAAGGGCGACGGGUGCUGACCAGCAUACGGACGGUAUGAAAAGCGCGCACGCGUUAAAGCGCGUCCAGCUCUAUGCAAGGUAGCGUCACACCCGAAGUUCUGCCUGAGCGCGGACGUCGUCGGUGUGGUGCUCCUGUUGUAGCUGCCGCAGUCUUGGACUGUGCGCGUUUCUAUCUGCGAUGAUUCAGUUUCGGGCACUCGCAGGACCCGUCUUGAAACACGGACCAAGGAGUCUAGCAUGUAUGCGAGUCAUUGAGAUUACAAAACUUAAAGGCGCAACGAAAGUAAAGGCGUGCGCUGGCCGUGCGCUCAGGGAGGAUGGAGCGUCGAUCUAUAUCGGCCUCUCGCACUCCCGAGGUGUCUCGUUUCCAAUCCGUGAAUGCAGAUGCGCUCUGAGCAUAAAUGCUGGGACCCGAAAGAUGGUGAACUAUGCCUGGUCAGGUCGAAGUCUGGGGAAACCUUGAUGGAGGACCGAAGCGAUUCUGACGUGCAAAUCGAUCGUCGGAACUGGGUAUAGGGGCGAAAGACUAAUCGAAC
rnacentral:rRNA from 1 species